CAACUGAUCGAGGUUUGAGCCCAUGUUAAUUGUCCAAUAAAACCACACUUUGGGAACACUAUUUUGAAGUUGAUAACCACAAUAUUAUUACAGUUUAAAAUUUCGCGAGUGAAAAAGUUUAAAUGAGUGGAGGAUCCCAUAUUUCACAUGACCAGUGACUCACACCUAGUUGAUUUAUUACUCGUUCCACACUUUUGUACCAUGACGUCGGAUGUGUUUCUUCUUGUGAAACAUUAAGCGAAGAAACUGCCUCAUUUUUCUCUCACCAUCCGAUCUACAUCCUCACUGGCAUGAACUGAUCUCCGCCAGUCACCAUUCCAUCCCAUAGAAGCAAAUAUUGAUCACACAGUUACUUCAUCAAAAUGCCAUAAGAGUGUCACAUAUGUGCCAGCCUAAGUAGGAGCAAAGAUCAUGAGAGCAAGCAGUGUGAGUACCUAAACCUGUAAACUAAGAUGGAGGGAAUUCCAAUAAUUGAAACUAAUAUGUGCACAUUGUAGUUUUUGUGAUGGAUUAUCAAUCUCGAGUAGUAGUGUGUUAUGUGGUUAGUAUGUAAAAUUCAUAUACAUGUUCUUUGGAGAUGAAACAAAUAAUAUGUCAAUAAGACUGGAUAAUUCUAAGAGAAAGAAGUAAAAUAACUGUCAAAAGAAAGAGAAAGAAGUAAAACGAGAAACAUGUUAUUCUUCUUUUGCUGACAAAAACCUAGCUUUCUCCUUAUAAGAGUUGAGUGGUAGGAUUGAUAUGAAGUCAUGGAUCCUUCUGAAGGUGAACAUCUAAGCAUCCCUUGAAUAUGAGCUUGGUCCAUCUGUGUUACAGGCUAUGAGAGGUUUCAAUAAACGAGGAAUUAAUUCUGUGAGGCUUUUCUUUUUUGGAAGGAAAUUCCGUAUUGAACUUCUGACGUCUAUAUUAAGCUGAUGCAUGUAGCCAACACACAACUUACUAUUACAAACUUCAUGGACAAGAACCCUGAAGGCUAAUGUUUUAUCCUUGAGAAAUAGCAGUCUAAAUAGAACCAAUGUUGCAUGGUCCAAAUGCCAUGUUGCAUUGACAAACUAGUGCCUUUCUUGAGUUGGGACGGACACACCUUAUAGCCUCCCUGCAUGGAUUCCCAAAACAACACAAUUCCACAUUAAACAAAUAUCACGAUCAUAUUAUGCACUUCUAGUUGUUCCUCAAUAAUAAACAAUAUGAAAAUA
rnacentral:lncRNA from 1 species